rnacentral:tRNA from 1 species
UACCCGGUGGUGUAAUCGGUAGCACGAGAGACUUUGAAUCUCUCUGUCCAGGUUCGAGUCCUGGCCGGGUAGCCA